rnacentral:rRNA from 1 species
AGCCCAGCUUGCUGGGUGGAUUAGUGGCGAACGGGUGAGUAACACGUGAGUAACCUGCCCCCGACUCUGGGAUAAGCCCGGGAAACUGGGUCUAAUACCGGAUAUGACCAUGGAACGCAUGUUUUGUGGUGGAAAGAUUUAUCGGUGGGGGAUGGACUCGCGGCCUAUCAGCUUGUUGGUGAGGUAAUGGCUCACCAAGGCGACGACGGGUAGCCGGCCUGAGAGGGUGACCGGCCACACUGGGACUGAGACACGGCCCAGACUCCUACGGGAGGCAGCAGUGGGGAAUAUUGCACAAUGGGCGAAAGCCUGAUGCAGCGACGCCGCGUGAGGGAUGACGGCCUUCGGGUUGUAAACCUCUUUCAGUAGGGAAGAAGCGAAAGUGACGGUACCUGCAGAAGAAGCGCCGGCUAACUACGUGCCAGCAGCCGCGGUAAUACGUAGGGCGCAAGCGUUAUCCGGAUUUAUUGGGCGUAAAGAGCUCGUAGGCGGUUUGUCGCGUCUGCCGUGAAAGUCCGAGGCUCAACCUCGGAUCUGCGGUGGGUACGGGCAGACUAGAGUGAUGUAGGGGAGACUGGAAUUCCUGGUGUAGCGGUGAAAUGCGCAGAUAUCAGGAGGAACACCGAUGGCGAAGGCAGGUCUCUGGGCAUUUACUGACGCUGAGGAGCGAAAGCAUGGGGAGCGAACAGGAUUAG